CAAUAGCGUAUAUUAAAGUUGUUGCAGUUAAAAGCUCGUAGUUGAAUUUCUAAUUAGUUGAUAUCUGGUACUCGUAUCUGUAUCAACUAGUUAUCCGACACUGAACCAUGAAGGUGAUUUAUUUGACCCCAUGGAGAAUUGUCAUUUUACUUUGAAAAAUUAGAGUGUUUCAGGCAGGCAAUUGCCCGAAUAUCUUAGCAUGGAAUAAUGGAAUAGGACUUUGGUUCAUUUUAUUGGUUAUUGAAUCAGAGUAAUGAUUAAUAGGGACAGUUGGGGGCAUUAGUAUUUAAUUGUCAGAGGUGAAAUUCUUGGAUUUAUUAAAGACUAACUUAUGCGAAAGCAUUUGCCAAGGAUGUUUUCAUUAAUCAAGAACGAAAGUUAGGGGAUCAAAGAUGAUCAGAUACCAU
rnacentral:rRNA from 1 species